rnacentral:rRNA from 1 species
UUGCAGUUAAAAAGCUCGUAGUUGGAUCUCAGGUCCCGGCUCGCGGUUCACCUCGCGGUGCUUACUGCCCGUCCGGACCCACCCACCGGUUCUCCCUUGGUGCUCUUCACUGAGUGUCUCGGGUGCCCGGAGAGUUUACUUUGAAAAAAUUAGAGUGUUCAAAGCAGGCGCUUCGCCUGGAUAAUGGUGCAUGGAAUAAUGGAAUAGGACCUCGGUUCUAUUGUGUUGGUUUUCGGAGCUCGAGGUAAUGAUUAAGAGGGACAGACGGGGGCAUUCGUAUUACGGUGUUAGAGGUGAAAUUCUUGGAUCGCCGUAAGACGAACUACUGCGAAAGCAUUUGUCAAGAAUGUUUUCAUUAAUCAAGAACGAAAGUCAGAGGU